rnacentral:rRNA from 1 species
UACGGAGGGUGCGAGCGUUGUCCGGAAUCACUGGGCGUAAAGGGUGCGUAGGCGGUCAUGUAAGUCAGUGCUGAAAUAUCCCGGCUUAACCGGGAGGGUGGCAUUGAUACUGUAUGACUUGAGUAAAGUUGAGGUUGGCGGAAUUGACGGUGUAGCGGUGAAAUGCUUAGAUAUCGUCAAGAACACCUAUUGCGAAGGCAGCUAACUAAGCUUUAACUGACGCUGAGGCACGAAAGUGUGGGGAUCAAACAGG